rnacentral:rRNA from 1 species
UACGGAGGGUGCAAGCGUUGUUCGGAAUUACUGGGCGUAAAGGGCGCGUAGGUGGUUGUGUAAGUCGGAUGUGGAAUCCUUCGGCUCAACUGAAGAACUGCAUCUGAAACUGCACGACUCGAGUACAGGAGAGGGAAACGGAAUUCCAGGUGUAGAGGUGAAAUUCGUAGAUAUCUGGAGGAACACCGGUGGCGAAGGCGGUUUCCUGGCCUGAUACUGACACUGAGGCGCGAAAGCGUGGGGAG